rnacentral:rRNA from 1 species
AUGCCCGAUCCUCGCAGGUGGCCCAGACACCGACUUGACGAUCCUACGGAGGUUGCCGUGGUGCCCCUCGACAUGCUACCACUACCCGUCCACUUGUCCUUCAUGUGCGGCCACUACUGGGCGGGCAUGAAGGCCAACUGGAUCGUCCUCAUCCACCAAUCCGGUAGUCCGUGGCGUCUCGUGGAUAUCUACACCCAGCAAGAGAUCACCCUUCCAUCGUUGGUUACCACCGCCAUCGAGCCUCGCAGGCCGCCGGACACUCCUGCCUACUACGCACGAGACGCCAGACGCAAAUGCGCUGGCCUUCAUGAUUCCAGGACCUGGAAUGAUACCAGCCGAUGGUACCAUAUAAUUGGAAUUAACCAAUGCAAGUCCAAGAAGGAUUGGUCGGUGCUGCCGGCUGGCGUCAAGUUCGAUCCCACGGAUCAGGAGCUGAUCGAGCACCUUGAGGCCAAAGUGAGUGCUGACAGCGCGAGAUCUCACCCUCUCAUCGAUUUGUUCAUACCAACCAUCGACAGCGAGCACGGCAUAUGCUACACCCAUCCUGAGAAACUCCAGUGCAAUUCCAGGGCAUCCAAAAGGGGCACGUGGACACGAAGCAAGAUACAGUCGGAGUGCGGCAUGCAUGCGAUGUGGCACAAGACCGGCAAUACCUUUCUGGUGAUGGUCAACGGCCAGCAGACGGGCAGUAAAAAGGUUCUGGUGCUGCACACCAACAAGAACUUCGACCAGCAGAGGACCAACUGGGUGAUGCACCAGUACCACGUCGGGGACCUGGAGCAAGAGAAGGAGCGGGAGCUGGUCCUCUGCAAGAUUUUCUACCAGACGAACACUAGGGCCAGGAGUAAAAAAGAUUAUAAGCUAGUUUGGUAUUGGUACUUGUACUACCUUGUCGUCCGCAAGUUGGUAUUGUUGUUAACGAUCUUUCGAAUUCUCUCGUUUAUUGAGCAGGCCCAGCCCAUGACGACAAGGGGCACAAAGAUCCAGCAGUUUUACUAG